CCUACGGGAGGCAGCAGUGAGGAAUAUUGGUCAAUGGGCGAGAGCCUGAACCAGCCAAGUCGCGUGAGGGAAGACGGUCCUAUGGAUUGUAAACCUCUUUUGUCGGGGAGCAAAAAGGCCUCGUGAGGCCACAAGUGAGAGUACCCGAAGAAAAAGCAUCGGCUAACUCCGUGCCAGCAGCCGCGGUAAUACGGAGGAUUCAAGCGUUAUCCGGAUUUAUUGGGUUUAAAGGGUGCGUAGGCGGUUCGAUAAGUUAGAGGUGAAAUCCCGGGGCUCAACUCCGGCACUGCCUCUGAUACUGUCGGGCUAGAGUUUAGUUGCGGUAGGCGGAAUGUAUGGUGUAGCGGUGAAAUGCAUAGAGAUCAUACAGAACACCGAUUGCGAAGGCAGCUUACCAAACUACGACUGACGUUGAGGCACGAAAGCGUGGGGAGCAAACAGGAUUAGAUACCCUAGUAGUC
rnacentral:rRNA from 1 species